AUAUUACUACCUCUGUUUCAAAAUAUAAGAUUUUUAAAAAAGUUAAAUUAGCUUUCUUAAAAGGCUUACAUUUCGGAACGGAGGUAGUACCUC
rnacentral:miRNA from 1 species